ensembl:lncRNA LINC02351 long intergenic non-protein coding RNA 2351
AAUUUUGAGAAGCAGUUUGAGCUCAUUUCCUGCAUGUUUAGUUCUAGGUGCAAUGUUUUAAGGGGAAGACUUACACUAUGAAGCUAGCCCAGAAGAGGGUGACUAGAGUACUGAGGAGUUUCUACCUGGAAGGGCUGUAAGGAAGACAACUGCUAUGUUGUGAGCGGCUCUAUGGAGAGGCCCAUGUGGAGGGAAGUGAGGAAGGCCUCUGGCCAACAGUCCAGGAGGAAGUGAAGCCCUCAGUCCAACAGCCUGUGUGGAACUGAACCCUGCAAACAACUCUGUGUGU